rnacentral:rRNA from 1 species
UUCAAAAUGAGUUUGAUCCUGGCUCAGGGUGAACGCUAAUAAUAUGCUUUACACAUGCGAGUUGUACGGAAUUUUUUCGUAGCGAACGGGUGAGGAGUAUGCAAUUUCUCAGGUUAAUAUUUUAAAGUAGAACUUUAUAAUAUUUGAGAUAGAAAAUCUACCUUUUAGUUUAAGAUAAACUGUAUCUAUCAAAAUUUUUUAUUUUUUUAGAGCGAGACUAUUGUUUUAGUUUGCAGUAAUAUUAAAUAAUCAGUUUUCAUGAAAAAGCUUAGGAAAAAUGCUCAAAUUGCUGCAAAGAGUUCUUCAAGAAAAAUAACCUUUUGACAAGUUUAUUACAGACAGUGUUUGCUUAAAAGGUUUUUCGGCUCCAAGCGUAUAAAAUGCAAUUGUUUGAUCAUCGUUAUGUGUCUAAAGCAUUAAAAGAUGAGUUUGUAUAAGAUUAGGUUGUUGGUAGAAAUAAAAGUUUACCAAGCCUUUGAUCUUUAGUUGGUCUUAGAGGACGUACAGCCACACUGGAACUGAGACAAGGUCCAGGCCAUUUUUGGCCAGCAGUGAGGAAUAUUGGACAAUGAACGAAAGUUUGAUCCAGCAAUAUUAUGUGAAUGAUUUUCUUCUAUAGCCUGGACUGUAAUAGGAAAAGGUAAAGAAGAAUUGACGGCUAAUUUGGUUGUAAAGUUCUUUCGUUAAAAAUGAUAAUGACGUUAUUUAAAGAAGUUUUAGUCCCGGCUAAUCUCGUGCCAGCAGCCGCGGUAAUACGGGAGGGGCAAGCGUUAUCCGUAAUUACUGGGCGUAUAGAGUCCGUAGAUUGUAAUUUAAGUUAUAUAUUUAAAAUUUAAAGCUCAACUUUAAAAAAAGAUAAAAUACUGCUUUACUUGAGUUUAAUACAGAAAAGCAGAAUUUCAUGUUAAGGAGUAAAUUCCAAAAAUACAUGGAGGAAUAUCACUAGCGAAAGCGGCUUUUUAGUAUAAACUGACAUUGAG